UACGGAGGAUGCGAGCGUUAUCCGGAUUUAUUGGGUUUAAAGGGUGCGCAGGCGGCACGGCAAGCCGGCGGUCAAAUCGCGGGGCUCAACCCCGCCCAGCCGUCGGAACUGCCAGGCUAGAGUGGGCGAGAAGUGCGCGGAAUGCGUGGUGUAGCGGUGAAAUGCAUAGAUAUCACGCAGAACUCCGAUUGCGAAGGCAGCGCACCGGCGCCCUACUGACGCUCAGGCACGAAAGCGUGGGUAUCGAACAGG
rnacentral:rRNA from 1 species